GCGGAUGGCCGGGCGGCCGCGUGUCCCGCAAGGGGCGCGAGGAAAGUCCGGACUCCAGGAAGCGACGGUGCCGGGUAACGCCCGGGCGGGGCAACCCGACGGAAAGCGCCACAGAAAACAGACCGCCCCGGUCUUCGGGCCGGGGUCAGGGUGAAACGGUGGGGUAAGAGCCCACCGGGGGGCCGGCAACGGCCGCCGCAUGGCAAGCCCCACCGGGAGCAAUGCCAAAUAGGGAUCCCACGAGGGGCGCAAGCCUCUCACGGCGCGCUUCCGCCGCGGGAUCCGGGUCGGCAGCUCGAUCCCGUGGGCAACCGCGGGGCCAGAGGAAUGGUCGCCGCCCGCCCUUCGGGGCGGGAACAGAAUCCGGCUUACAGGCCAUCCGCGCAC
rnacentral:RNase_P_RNA from 1 species